GACGAACGCUGGCGGCGUGCUUAACACAUGCAAGUCACGGGGGCCCGCAAGGGUAACCGGCGAACGGGUGCGUAACACGUGAGCAAUCUGCCGUGAUCUGGGGGAUAGCCGGCCCAACGGCCGGGUAAUACCGCAUACGCUCGUUGAGUGGCAUCACUUGACGAGGAAACCUCCGGGGGAUCACGAGGAGCUCGCGGCCUAUCAGCUAGUUGGUGGGUAACGGCCUACCAAGGCAAUGACGGGUAGCUGGUCUGAGAGGAUGGCCAGCCACAUUGGGACUGAGAUACGGCCCAGACUCCUACGGGAGGCAGCAGUGGGGAAUAUUGCGCAAUGGCCGAAUGGCUGACGCAGCGACGCCGCGUGGAGGAUGACGCCC
rnacentral:rRNA from 1 species